rfam:Clostridium celatum DSM 1785 genomic scaffold Scfld153, whole genome shotgun sequence.
UAUUUAGAUAGAGGUGCGGUACUUAAGAGUACUACUAAGGAUUUAAGCAUGUUAAAUUAGUAUGAAAGGAUUUAUCGCCGAAGCAUAUAACAAAAGCUUUAAUGUUAUAUAGCUGGAAGUAUGUAUAAUAUGCAUAUUUCUGUCACAUUAUUAUGUGAUGAGCUAUCAUUUAA